UACAGAGGUCCCAAGCGUUGUUCGGAUUCACUGGGCGUAAAGGGUGCGUAGGCGGUUUGAUAAGUCUGAUGUGAAAUCGCCCGGCUCAACUGGGCGGGGUCAGCGGAUACGGUGUGGCUCGAGCAAGCUAGGGGGCAAUGGAAUUCCCGGUGUAGUGGUGGAAUGCGUAGAUAUCGGGAGGAACACCAGUGGCGAAGGCGGUUGCCUGGAGCUUUGCUGACGCUGAGGCGCGAAAGCGUGGGGAGCAAACAGG
rnacentral:rRNA from 1 species